CACUGAUAUUCUCACAAGGGAGGUGUGGCUAACGUAGUAUUUAAACUCAUCCCUUUGUCAGUUUGGAUCUCACUUUCAGUGGGUAAUCAGAGUUCAAAAUGUUCGUGCUUUGGGCGCUACGAUUUGCUUGGGUGAUUUUUGCUUGUGGAGGAACCAGCGCAGCCUCCAGAAACAACUGUUAUCGAAAAGACUGUAAUGGAACAUGGUAUGACAUCCAAGAGGCUACUUGCUGUGAAAACAAACUUUACCCUGGUGCAAGUCUCUCUUGUUGUGGAAAUGAGCCUUACAAUCUGGAAACAGCCACUUGUUGUAAAGUACAGCAUGAGCACGACAUCAUAGCCAGUGUUGACCAGGGUCUGAAUGAAAAGGUAUCCAAGUGCUGUGACCUGAAGGCGUACAACCCAGUCAAUGAAAUGUGUUGUCAGUCAACCAUCACAGCAAAACCUGGACCAAUGGCUGAAUGUUGUGGUAAAGAGGUUUUUGAUAAGGAUAAGCAGUUGUGUUGUGGUCCAACUGAUAACAGGAUAAUUUUGGUGAGGAAUUCUAGCCACCACCGGUGCUGUGGCCACAACCAGUAUGACACCAAGACUCAGUGCUGCUGUACAAAUAAGGAAAACAUUCUGGAGAUACAACCUAAAGAUUCAGACUGCUGCAUGGAGGACUCUCCAGCAGUUCUUCCAUGUGGAAAUAUAACCUUCAACAAACAUACGCAACUAUGCUGUCAGUUAAAUGUUGUUCACAAAUCUCCACAGAAGUACAAAUGUUGUGAUAAAAGGGCAUAUGAUGUGGAAAAGGAGCUGUGUUGUGGCCCAAGUAAUAACAAAAUAAUUCUAAUGAGGAAUUCCGGUAAUCACCAGUGCUGUGGUCACAACCAUUAUGACACUGACACUCAGUGUUGCUUUUUGAAUAAGGAGGGUGUUCUUGAGAUUCAACCUAAGGAUCCAUCUGGCUGUGUGAGAGAAAAGGUAAGAAAUACACUCCAAUAAAUGUAGGGUUCUUAUUCUCUUUGUAUUCAUUCAUACAGUGAUCAGUAAAGAAACAUUUUGGUCCUUUAUUUGCCAAUAUGGGUGCAUUAAAACAUCCUUUUUAUUUCUUUUUUUUUUUGUCAGACAGUUGAGCGCCAGUCUAAGUGCACUGAACCAAAAACACAUCUCUGUGGGUCGUUAUGUUACAAUCCAAAGGAACGUCGCUGCUGUGAGAGAAAUCAAGAAUCUCACUGGUUCUGUGCCUCAGGUCAAAGGAAGACACCACCCACUGUGUACAACCCCCAUACACAAGUCUGUUGUGAUGGAUGUGUAUCAGGAAAGAAGCCUUGGAUAGAUCAAUGCUGUGGAGAGACGCCGUAUGGCUCAGCACAACGUGGAGUUCUGUGUUGUAAUAAGAGCUUGUACGAGGGCAGAGACGAUGGAGAGGAAUGUUCGGAGAUAGGUAUUCCUUACAACCCUGCUAAAGGGACCAUGUGUUGUUCUCACUUUCAUGGCAGCCCAGGACAACACUGCUGUGGGACAGAAAUUUACCAGCCUGAUGUUGAGAUUUGCUGCAAUGGACACAGACAUCCCAGACUGAGAAACAUCCACUGCUGUGGGGUCAAAGCCUACAACAUUAAAGACCCACAGAUGAAGUGCUGUGCAGGAACACUGUACAAUCUGACAUCAUUAGAUGAGCAUGGGGGGGAUGCGCAGUGCUGUGGAUCCAUUCUGCAAAAGCCACAGGAGAUUUGCUGCUCAGGUGAGGACAAAGAGGUGCUUUACACUGUCAAGACAGGAUUUGGAUGCUGUGGUCACCUCUAUUACAACACCACUUUGUGGUCGUGCUGCGCUGGGAGGCUUACAUUAAUCAAUGAAUCAGAACAGGAUCAGAGAAAGAUGAUUAACGAAUACCGACAUUUCUCUGUGAAUAAUCUGAACAAAACUUCUCUUUGCAAUAAAGUGCGCAUUGGGAUUGUGGAAAGUGUGUCUCUGCAUAGCAUUGUUUUCAAGAGCAUGCUAAAAGUCCAUGGGAAGAAGGCCAAAGUCAAAGCUUUGUCUUUGCCGUACACCCUGAAAAUAGUUGAUCACUGCAGCUCCCCUAAACUGAUUCCUGGGAAGAUCUAUAUCUUUAACAACGUUAAUAUUUUCACUGAUUUCAAUCAUCAAUCUGUUCUUCAAUCACUGCAUUUCAUUUUUUCCAAGUGUUCACCUUAGACCAGUAAUCACAUUCUAGUUACAACUGUAUUCUUACUUGUGUUACAAAGGUCAUCUCCUUGAAGACAGAUUAGAAGAAGAGAAAAUCAUUAAAAGUGCCAUAUGGGCAUUUCUUUCAUUUUAGUGCAUUGAAGGACAAGAACGUGCAAGUACAAACUACUUCGAGCUUGGAAGUAACAUGCACAUUGAUCCCAGCCAAGCAGCUAGAGUCCUCAUUCUGUUUAUUUGGGACUGUAGUCUAACUAGUGUGAUGGUACACCUAAGGUCAUGUUAGAGUAAUGCAAAAAAAGAUAAGAUGAAUAAAAAUUAUUUAUUUAUAAAACUAUUUAAAAUGUAAAGUAAUUAAGGAAGUAAUAACUACUUCAAAAUCACCAAGAAAUGUCAAACUUUAAUUACUUUAGUUACAAUUAUGUCUUUACUUGUGUUACUUUUAAAAAAAACAAUGAGCAAUGUGUAAUUUCUUACUGUUUAUGGGAACCAUCCCAUCUUUAUGUAACAGUACAACAUUCAACCUUACAGACCCACACAACAAAAAAAGAAGAUAUAAACGUGAUCAUCUUUAGGUAUAGCCACAAUUACCAGCAAAGUUAGUGGAAAAACAGCUCAAAAUUUUCAAAUAGCCAGUUCAGUAGAGUUCUCUGGAAUUGACACAGUCAUCUUAAGCAGCGGUCCCCAACCUUUUUAUGCCCGACAAUAUUUUCAUGGACGGACCUUUAACACACGUGAAAAGACCCAGGAAAACCGAGUUAACGAGCAAAACGAUAACAAAAUAACGCUGAAAACUGAUAAAAACCCUGAAAACCAUACAUUUCAUACCUGAGCCUCUACUCUCGCAGCCUGGUACCAAACGACUCACGGACCGGUACCGGUCCGAGGCCCGGGGGUUGGGGACCACUGAUCUUAAGCACUGCUCAGGGUCUUAGGGUCCUUUUUCAGGUUCUUGACAAGAAUUGAAUCCUGUUUGCAGCAAUGGAUAGAUGCUUCUCACAGUGAAAUCAAUGUAUUGCACUAAUCUCAAUUGCUCAAUGUUGUACACCACUGUAUUUUUUGUGUUUCUGCAAGGUGAGCCCACUUAAUUGUUGCAUUGUUGCAUACAUGAAAAAGCUAAAACUGUUUUUUUAAGUCAAACCCACACUAUUGAAUGUAUGCAUGUAUUAUAAAUCAUAUGUUUUAUUUUACUAGCUAAAGCUAGAGAACAAUAAGCACUUACUUCUGAAUGCCAUAGAUGUUAUAAGAAUUGCUAUUUCUUCUUAACUACCCAACUGUGUUCACCUUUGUGUAAGCUGUAGUUACUUUUUAACGAGAAUGUGAUUUACGUAAUGUGAUUAAAGAUAGAGUACUGUAACUGGCAGAUGCAGAGUGGGUACUAUGGAUGAGCCCCAGGGGUCCAGGCUCACCCAAUAAAGUUAUAGUGCCUCCUGAGCUGAAUUGUAUGCUAUACUGUAACUAAGUUACACUAAUUCACACAAUUUGGUGAUUAAAAAAAACGCCAAACAAACCUUGGACCCAUCCAGGUCAAACUUUGGGAAGUGCCUUUCUCUUUGAAACAAAAAAAAAAAGAAAGAAAGAAAGAUUCGUCAGGUUGUGAAGCUAGUUUUAAAUCAUGACCCUAUUCAAAGGUUUCGAAAUAAAUGGAAAUCUGUUCAAGAUAUUUACUUAGGUUUAUUGAGCCACUUCUGCACUUCUGUCUCUUUUCCUCUGCAAUAUAAGACAGAUGCAUUUUUUUUAAAAUAUUUCUCUGUGAAUGUUUGGUGCUAUGCAUGUAUUUAUAUUUAAUUUUUCUAUAGAAUAGUAAUGUGACUUGUGUUGAAUGACUCCUGUCAAAGUUGGUUGUUCUUCCAGUUCAUAUGGUCUGCAAUUGACCCAGGGUAAAGGUUUGCCAUUUUUGUACUGUAUAUUGCUUUAUUAGAAGUUGCUGACAUCUGUCAUUUUUUGAGUUGAUUUAUUAAAGAAAACAAUAUUGUACUCAUAAAUGCACAUUUAUUAUUGUCUAAUUCUGUCUUCCAACAAACCGAUGUAGUUCAAGGGCUUAAAAUGAAUCCAUUAAAAUACAUAAGACUGGGGCCAGUUUUUUGCACCACCAUCUUAAAUACAGUAGCCAAGAUUAAUAUUGCCAAUCCAUCUAACUACGAUUUAUGUAUGUGGCUAUGUACUGGUCACAUGUGGACAACAGAACUCACUGACAUUUGCAUACUAUGGAGACAAAGUUUAAGACUUGAAUUAGGAGAAGUAAGAAAGCAGAAUUAAGUUGAAGGCAAUCUACUAGUAAUUGGCGGAACCACAAAGAGGAACACAACAUAGAUUUUCCAAAGAAGGUUUGACUGUUGUACUAAAUUUUGUAUAUAUUUAAGUUUAUUUAAACCACUUUCUAAUGCAUUGAACUAUAAUCUUGAAGGCAGAGUGAUCAAACGGUAUUGAAUGUCAAAAUUAUUCUAUACAUGUGUAGCCCUGUCUGAAAUUAUUCAGGCUUACAGGGUAAAGAAAAAAAAAGUCUACUGUUAUAAAAAAUGGUUAAAAUAUAAAUAGUUGAUAAAAUGUUUAAAAUCAUAUGCUUUGGUACAAAUGUAUUUCAUUUACAGUUAAGAGUCCAAUAAAUAAAAGGGUUUCAUGAUUUAGAGUUCAUUUUCUGUGCAGAAUCAAUAUGUUGGGGUGUAACCUAAGUUUAUUUACC
ensembl:lncRNA